UACAGGGGGGGCAAGCGUUGUUCGGAAUUACUGGGCGUAAAGGGCUCGUAGGUGGCCAACUAAGUCGGACGUGAAAUCCCUCAGCUUAACUGGGGAACUGCAUCCGAUACUGGAUGGCUUGAGACCGGAAGAGGUCAGCGGAACUGCGAGUGUAGAGGUGAAAUUCGAUAGAUAUUCGCAAGAACACCAGUGGCGAAGGCGGCUCACUGGCCCGGUACUAACGCUGAGGCACGAAAGCGUGGGGAGCAAACAGG
rnacentral:rRNA from 1 species